CGGAGAGUUUGAUCCUGGCUCAGGACGAACGCUGGCGGCAUGCCUAAUACAUGCAAGUCGAACGAACCAUCCUGUUGAUUGAAGCUUGCUUCAUGAUUCAGAUUUUGGUGAGUGGCGGACGGGUGAGUAACACGUGGGUAACCUGCCCAAAAGUGGGGGAUAACAUUUGGAAACAAGUGCUAAUACCGCAUAACAACUACUUUCACAUGAUCGUAGCUUGAAAGAUGGCUCUGCUAUCGCUUUUGGAUGGACCCGCGGCGUAUUAGCUAGUUGGUGAGGUAAUGGCUCACCAAGGCAAUGAUACGUAGCCGACCUGAGAGGGUAAUCGGCCACAUUGGGACUGAGACACGGCCCAAACUCCUACGGGAGGCAGCAGUAGGGAAUCUUCCACAAUGGGCGAAAGCCUGAUGGAGCAAUGCCGCGUGAGUGAAGAAGGUUUUCGGAUCGUAAAACUCUGUUGUUGAAGAAGAACAUGCGUGAGAGUAACUGUUCACGUACUGACGGUAUUCAACCAGAAAGGAACGGCUAAAUACGUGCCAGCAGCCGCGGUAAUACGUAUGUUCCAAGCGUUAUCCGGAUUUAUUGGGCGUAAAGCGAGCGCAGACGGUUAUUUAAGUCUGAAGUGAAAGCCCUCAGCUCAACUGAGGAAUUGCUUUGGAAACUGGAUGACUUGAGUGCAGUAGAGGAAAGUGGAACUCCAUGUGUAGCGGUGAAAUGCGUAGAUAUAUGGAAGAACACCAGUGGCGAAGGCGGCUUUCUGGACUGUAACUGACGUUGAGGCUCGAAAGUGUGGGUAGCAAACAGGAUUAGAUACCCUGGUAGUCCACACCGUAAACGAUGAGUGCUAGGUGUUUGAGG
rnacentral:rRNA from 1 species